UCACCACAAAGAUGUGCUGUCCACAGUGUAUUUGAUAAGAUGACAUAGGAGAGGAACUUCUUUCACCUUUGUGUCAGUUUAUCAAACCCAUACCUGGAUGACAAGCAAUUCAAUGGAAG
rnacentral:pre_miRNA from 7 species